UCCAACUCACUAAAAUACUGUGAAGUCUUAUUUGAACACCCAUAGAGAUGCAGGCUAGUCUUAAGGCUGGGCCUUCUUGGGAGUUUCCAGUUCCACCAGGCUCUUGCACUUCUGGUGGGGACUUUGUUCUUAGGUGGAGGAGCACUGAGCCAAUGUAGCUUGUUUACAGGCUCUCAGCAUCAUAACAUAUUGGCAAUUGCUCAAGAGAAUGUGGCAAAUUGCUGUAAACCAUCUGAGUACAGGCCUGGCCACACAAAGAAAGCCAGCUGAAUAUCAAGACAUGUCCUUGAUUUGAUGUCUGUGUGACUGGCUUGUGGUAGAGAGUAUGAGGAAUGUGCUGGAAGGUUAGAGCAUUAGUAGCAGCCAUUUUGUUGUCUAGAGCUAAGGACUGAGCCCUAGGGCCUGUGCACCUAGGUAUACUCUACCAAGGGGCCACACUCCCAGUCCCAUUCUCACUGUUCUCAUUGUGGACAGAAGUCCCAGCCGAAGGCCUUGUGUGACAUGUCUUGAACAAACCCUUGAAGCACAAAUACCAGCCAACAGAAACCAAAGGACCUAAGCAGAUGGGGUGUCUGUAAACUGAA
rnacentral:lncRNA from 1 species